rnacentral:rRNA from 1 species
GACAGAGGGUGCAACGUUGUUCGGAAUUACUGGGCGUAAAGCGCGUGUAGGCGGCUAAGUAAGUCGGGCGUGAAAUCCCACGGCUCAACCGUGGAAGUGCACUCGAAACUGCAUAGCUAGAGUCCUGGAGAGGAAGGUGGAAUGCUUGGUGUAGAGGUGAAAUUCGUAGAUAUCAAGCGGAACACCGGUGGCGAAGGCGGCCUUCUGGGACAGUGACUGG